UUCAGAUGAUGCCAAGUCAUAGACACCCCACAAGAAGCGAAACUGAGACAAACUGAUGGAUAAUAUGAAACGGGAAAGAAUUAAUCGGCAAAAGUACAGAGCAGCAGAGAGCGGAAGUUCAGAACAGCAGUGAGCAGAAGCACAGAGCAGCACUGUCUCCUACAUGGACGUAACUUUUCACAAACACCAGAGUGAAAAAAAAAUAGCUGAAAACAACUCCGCACUAAAUAAGCAGCGGAAGCAAACAAUGGCCAAAUAUGAGAUGAACUGCGUAGUCAAUGAAUUCCAGGCUCUCGACAUCCAGAUCCAGAAACUCCUGUACCAACGGAGACACCUGAGCGAUUUGAAAGCUUGUCUGCUGGAAAAAUUCUCCCAAUCAUCUGAAAUCAUUGCAGCAAAUCAUGGUUCAGUAACAUCGACUCCACGCUGUGCCACUCACUUUCAAGGCCAAGUGAGCUUUAC